UACGUAGGGUGCAAGCGUUGUCCGGAAUUAUUGGGCGUAAAGAGCUCGUAGGCGGUCUGUCGCGUCUGCUGUGAAAACUCGGGGCUUAACCCCGGGCCUGCAGUGGGUACGGGCAGACUAGAGUGCGGUAGGGGAGACUGGAAUUCCUGGUGUAGCGGUGGAAUGCGCAGAUAUCAGGAGGAACACCGAUGGCGAAGGCAGUUCUCUGGGCCGUAACUGACGCUGAGGAGCGAAAGCGUGGGGAGCAAACAGG
rnacentral:rRNA from 1 species